GACAGAGGGUGCAAACGUUGUUCGGAAUCACUGGGCUUAAAGCGCGCGUAGGCGGAUGUUUAAGUGUCUUGUGAAAUCCCACGGCUCAACCGUGGAACUGCUGGGCAUACUGGACAUCUCGAGGCACUCAGGGGCGAGCGGAACAAGUGGUGGAGCGGUGAAAUGCGUAGAUAUCACUUGGAACGCCAAUGGUGAAGACAGCUCGCUGGGGGUGUCCUGACGCUGAGGCGCGAAAGCCAGGGGAGCGUACGGG
rnacentral:rRNA from 1 species